UAGGGCCCUUUGACUCGCGAGCCUCCUUCUUCGGCGGCGGCAGGUCCCUCUGUUUGUACCUCCACCCGAACGCCGAUGCGCGAGAGCGGGUGUCGGCGCGCCGUAAGCGGCCUAAAAGUCGCCGGCGCGUGCCGACGUCCGUAGCGGUUGGCACGGCGCAUCGGAGAAGUAGACGGAGGACAAGGGAACGUCAACGAAGGUCGCCGUUACCUCGGCGCCGACCUGGGCACCCCUCGCCGCACCUCCAGCGCGCGCGGUUCUCCUACGAGGUACACCACGACCAAAGGGGAGACUAGGGUCCUUUAUGUCCUAGAUAACGUUCCUGAACACGUCGAAGUCGUCAACCGGAGGUAGAACAGCCCGGUAACCCAAAAGUACACCUACUGUGUUUUGAAUUCGCACGACCUAACCUAAUAACCGGUAUACAACAGCAAUUCUAAGUACUGAGGACCCUACUCAAGGCUCUAAUAAAGUACUUCGUCCUACCCGUUUUUUCUAACAACCGUAAAUGGUUUUCUCCGUGGGUGUAAGUAAGUCUAAAGAGUAUAUUCGGACCCCUGACCGAUCAUAAGCCCAGGCUCUGUUUUCCCGAUGGUCUCAGGCGGGACCUUCUGACGAGGCCUCUUCGGGACCCACCACCUUGGUAGGCUUAAGGCUACCACCUUUGGAUACAGGCCACGGACUUGGAGAGCCACUCACAACCUCAUCGCGACAUGCUUCGUCGCUCCGUCGACUUGAUGCUCGUCGAGGUCAUGGUUGGACUAGAGGGUCUCCUUCGCGUUCCUGACAAGGGUCGUCUCCUAUAGAUACCUACUUUUAUGAAAUGGACUCUUAGUUAGCUACUUUGAUGUGUAGUUCUCAAAGAAGUCGACAUACGGGCCACGGACAGAGUUGGUUUUACACAUGACCUGAAAGGUUUCUGGUUAACCUACAUAUGUGAAACGCCAGUCCUCCAUUAAUCUGUACUGUUCUUUGAUCUACCCCCCAGAGAAGAUUGGAGGUCAUGUGACUCGACGGAUGAACAGGAUUUGGUAAUUC
rnacentral:rRNA from 1 species